rnacentral:tRNA from 1 species
GAAUUUAUAGCUCAGUGGUAGGGUGCAUGACUCACAUGUACGAGGUCCUGGGUUCAAUUCCCAGCACCUCCA